rnacentral:lncRNA from 1 species
AAUUAAUCUCUAUUAAUAGAGCGACAGAAAUGAAUAGUAAUUUUGAUCGUGGUUUGUUCUGAUUGACCUAUUUGGGCGGUCAUCCCCCUUUGAGACACGUAUCUUCAGUUUUCAACUCUUUUUAAAACCUCAUAAGAGAAGACAGAGAAAGGGAGAGAGAAGGGCGGCGACCGCAGGGUCACCACCGUCACACCACCAUGACGGUCACCGUCCGGAGUCUCUGUUUUGUGGAUUUCUUGACAGUGUGGAAUGGCAUGGUUGUUGAUCUGUAAAACUUGGAACCUGCCGGAAAGUUAGUACGGUGGGAUGGUUCAUAUCCAGGCUAUUGGACAGAAGACAUGUCUCUUCUUUGUCUCUUUGCCGACGACCAACCACCCACUACCAGAGAUCCGCCACCACUCAACCGCCUGCUAAUUUUAGAGUUGUGGAUCCUAUGAGAAAAUCCAAAGGCACCUAUAAUCAUAAAUCAUGUAUCAGAUUCAAACGAAGUCACCGCAGUUCGAAGCGUCAAUGGAUGCGGCAGUGGUUGCUAUAAUCAAGUAUGUAAUUGACAUGGUCAUGGACACUAUACACCACCGUUUCCACUGCAGUCACCCCUCCUUUUCUUUUUCUUUGCAUUAAUUUAUGUUUCACUGUCCGAUGCUUCUCAAAAUAUCCACCUUUGGCGCCGACUGUUUUGCUUCGGAAGAUUGUUAGGAUGCCUUGGGAUUGUAGGUUCUCACUUCUAUCUACUAUGUUUAUGUUUACAUCUUCACAUCACAGCAUUGAUCUUCUUACUACAUGUAUGAUGAAUAAAUACUUGAUAUUGGUUAAUAUUGUAAUGGAUCUCGAGUUGGGAGGUGUAUAAUUAUAGCUCUCAAGGAUAUCAUAUCAUCAUUGGUGCCCAUGCUUCAUGCAUGUAAGGUAGACUGCUUGUAAUAUAAUGGUGUUGGGUGUUUAGUCAACCAAGUGGUGAUGAUUGUUUUUAAGAUUUGUUGUUUGGUAGGUUUUAAUUUUUUUUUUCCGUUUGAACAACCAACUUUGGGUUCAUGUUGGUCAUUUGUUUUUACGGACCGUGUUGUUAUAUUGGGUUCAUGUGUUGUAAUACUGGGAUGUUGUAAAUAAAUUGAUAGUAUAAUAAUGACUUUCAGUGUAUUCUUAAUUUAAAGACAUAAAAUCACUGGAUUAUUUGGGAUG